GGUUGAUCCUGCCAGUAGUCAUACGCUUGUCUCAAAGAUUAAGCCAUGCAUGUCUAAGUAUAAGCAUCAUACCGUGAAACUGCGAAUGGCUCAUUAUAUCAGUUAUAGUUCAUUUGAUAGUCCCUACUACUUGGAUAACCGUAGUAAUUCUAGAGCUAAUACAUGCGCUAAGCCCUGACUCACGAAAGGGUGUAUAUAUUAGAUACAACCAACCCUUCGGGUUUUUGGUGAAUCAUAAUAUCUGAGCGAACCGCAUGCUUCGGCGGCGGUGGUUCAUUCAAGUUUCUGCCCU
rnacentral:rRNA from 1 species